rnacentral:rRNA from 1 species
UACGUAGGGUGCAAGCGUUAAUCGGAAUUACUGGGCGUAAAGCGUGCGCAGGCGGUUUUGUAAGUCUGUUGUGAAAUCCCCGGGCUCAACCUGGGAAUGGCAAUGGAGACUGCAAGGCUAGAGUUUGGCAGAGGGGGGUAGAAUUCCACGUGUAGCAGUGAAAUGCGUAGAUAUGUGGAGGAACACCGAUGGCGAAGGCAGCCCCCUGGGUCAAAACUGACGCUCAUGCACGAAAGCGUGGGGAGCAAACAGGAU